AUGUGGUUUAAUUCGAUGAUACGCGAGGAACCUUACCAGGGCUUAAAUGCAAGUUGAAUGAUGUGGAAACAUGUCAGUCUUCGGACAAUUUUGCAAGGUGCUGCAUGGCUGUCGUCAGCUCGUGCCGUGAGGUGUUGGGUUAAGUCCCGCAACGAGCGCAACCCCCAUCUUUAGUUGCUAGCAGGUAAUGCUGAGGACUCUAAAGAAACCGCCUGCGCAGGUAGUGAGGAAGGCGGGGACGACGUCAAGUCAUCACGGCCCCUUACGUCCUGGGCCACACACGUGCUACAAUGGUUGGUACAGAGGGCAGCUACCCCGCGAGGGGAUGCGAAUCUCUAAAGCCAAUCUCAGUUCGGAUUGGAGUCUGCAACUCGACUCCAUGAAGCUGGAAUCGCUAGUAAUCGCGCAUCAGCCAUGGCGCGGUGAAUACGUUCCCGGGCCUUGUACACACCGCCCGUCAAACAAUGGAAGCU
rnacentral:rRNA from 1 species